GCUCAAGUUUGUUCAUUUUUUCUAUCAUUUCAUUCCUUUUAUUCAAGGGCAUCCCUCAUGGUUUUGCAAGCAAGGUCCUUUUAUUUAAGAGGCAAGUUCAAUUUCUUUCAAUUCAAAGUCUUCAAAGAAUUUUUUUUUAUUAUUCUCAAGUUCACUCAAUUCAUCACGGCUUAGGUGAUAAUUCAAAAAUAAGCAAAGUAUGUCAACUAGUCGUGCCAUUUCUUCAACCGGAUAUUACAAAAGUAGAAACCACAUUUUGCCUUGUAUUACACAAAAAUAAGGAAUUACAAGACAUUUUGUUCUGUGUUUCUAAAGCUAUGCUAAACUUCUUGUCAAGUUCCUCAUGCCUGCCCUAA